AACGAACGCUGGCGGCAGGCUUAACACAUGCAAGUCGGGCGGGCCCGCAAGGGUCAGCGGCGGACGGGUUAGUAACGCGUGGGAACGUGCCCUUUGCUCUGGAAUAGCCCUGGGAAACUGGGGGUAAUACCGGAUGUGCCCUGAGGGGGAAAGGUUUAUCCGGCAAGGGAUCGGCCCGCGUCUGAUUAGGUAGUUGGUGGGGUAACGGCCCACCAAGCCGACGAUCGGUAGCUGGUUUGAGAGGAUGAUCAGCAACACUGGGACUGAGACACGGCCCAGACUCCUACGGGAGGCAGCAGUGGGGAAUCUUGGACAAUGGGGCAACCCUGAUCCAGCCAUGCCGCGUGGGUGAUGAAGGCCUUAGGGUCGUAAAGCCCUUUCGCCGGGGAAGAUAAUGACGGUACCCGGUAAAGAAGCCCCGGCUAACUCCGUGCCAGCCGCCGCGGUAAU
rnacentral:rRNA from 1 species